rnacentral:tRNA from 1 species
CCAUUGGUGGUUCUGUAGUAGAAUUCUCACCUUCCAUGCAGGAGACCUAGGUUCAAUUCCCAGCCAAUGCA